AGUGCAUGAUGUGAGAGUAGAGCUCUGCCAGUGUGAGCCGGAAGCAGUGCCAUUGGUCAGGUACAUGAGCCAGAAGCAGUGUCAUUGGUCUCGAACACCCCACCAGCCUCAGACUGCAGUGGUCUGCUCACUACUCAAGCGGAUAACCAGCCUGCAGCUUGAGAGUGGUGUCACUGAGGGCCAUUGGCCUGUCAUUCAAUUUUCAUCAUAGGACAGGAAGAGACUUGUAUACCGCCCUGACAAAUGAGGCCUAUGAGGAGUUCUGACAUACUUGAUAUGUUGUGCCGUCUGGCCCCAGAAACUGCCGAUGGAACCCAGUGCCCACUCUGUCCCAAGGACAAUGGAACAGUGGUGGUAGCAGCGAAUGGGCUUUUUGGUUUGCCUAGGAAAGUUGUCUGGAUCAAGUUAUGAGCCAUCAAAACAUGAGGAAAAAGUUCACAAGUACUUUGCAAACCAAGCUGAUGUGGAUGGAUUGGUUUGUAAGCCCAUAUCACUGACGGGUAAUACCUGAAUGUAAUGUGCACUGCAUUUUAAAGAUACCUUCCAUUAUUACCUUAUGCACAACUGGAAGGGAAUGUGAACUAAAUCUAGAAUGAUUUGAACUCAUGAUACCAAACCUUGCCACUAAUUCACAUUUAAAUGUUGCAGUGGUCCAUCCACUUCAUCUGUUUGGCUCAGUGGUCUUAAGGUUGGAGACGGUAUGUUGGUAUUGUGUGUGUUUAAUGUAAUAUUAUUGGUUGUGUCAUGCAACAUCCAUUUAGGUACUGAAUCUGGCACCACUGUUUGUGAUCUGCUUCAGGCAACAGCUCAGUACGUUAUGCCUGUACUGUACUUGAUAUUUAAAAAAAUAAUGUUUAAGGUUGCCAUGGAUUUCAAGCGGGCAACGCCAUUAGGUCCAAACCCAAAAUAACGGAAUUGGACGAGACAGGCGUGUUGGGGCGUUCCUGCGAGAACGAGGACCCGAUUCACUUCCUGAACAUGAAAAAGGGUGAAAGUUUGUCAAAUGCAGUGUACUUACUGAGAGAGAUGAAGGAGGGUAUGAGAGGCAAGAACAUCAAUCUCAUCUUCAUGUAUGACAUUGCAUGCAAGAUGCAGCCACACAUGCAAAUGAAAUUCAAGACUAGGUAUUUCGAAGGUGCUGGACUGGCAGAUGGGGAGCAGAUGGAGAGGUUGUGGUUGUAUCUGAGGCGCUUUGGGAAGCUCACCAAAGAAAUGACGCCGUCCCAUUGUAUUGACCUCCUGACGGAUGCACCUCUCCACCAUGGGAAAAAGAUACGCCAGAGGCAAUGUUAGUACACUUGGAAUUGUUCUUCAUCUACUUGAUGCUGCUUGACUCUAGUGAUGUUCCUAACAUGUCCUGUUUUUUGUUUUGUAUUAGUGGACUCUCAGCCACAGAGGCUUUACCGAGCAAGAUAAGUUGCAACAGGCAGGAAGGGAAAUGGCAGAAAUUUGCAUAGUCUCUUCCAUGUAAUUAUUGUAUCAAUAAUGUCACAUCCUGACCUUAGUUCCUUUUUUAUGUCUCUAUUUUAGUUUGGUCAGGGCGUGAGUUGGGGUGGGCAUUCUGUUUUGUUCUGUGUGUUAUAUUUCUAUGUGUUUGAUCUGGUUUGGUUCCCAAUCAGAGGCCAGCUGUCUAUCGUUGUCUCUGAUUGAGAACCAUACUUAGGCAGCCUGUUUUCCCACUAUGGGUUGUGGGUAGUUGUUUUCUGUUUUGUGUGUAUUGCACCUUGCAGAACUGUUUGUUUGUCGUUGUGUUUAUUUUUUUUUCAAGUAUUCGUAUUUAUUUAAAGUAUUAUGAACACUUAAUACGCUGCACCUUGGUCCUCUUCUCCUUCUCCCGACGAUAACUUCUCCCGACGAUAAUCGUUACAAAUAAUCUAAUCAUUGAAUUUCAGUAUUGAUUAGAAAUGUUGUCACAUUUGUCACUGGUGUUAUGUUUUAAGUACAACUCUGGACAACAUUAGGGAUUGGGGCAGGAAUGUCAGUGUCACCAUUGAGAAGCAAAAACCUGCUCUGUGCUGGGUGGAGCAAUAUGUUGCAAUGCAACAUACCAUUGCAAUGUAUGUAAUUUAUUUCAAAUGACUAAACAAAGUUGUUAUAUUUUGUUAUGCAUUAUUGUAUGCCCUCUAAUACAUUUUUGAUUUUUCACGGCACAGCAGGAAAGUGGAGGUGGAAUAUCUGUUUAUCAGCUUGUGCAGAUCGAGAGGUACUUCCUCAGUGUGUUUUGAAACAGUACAAUUGUUAGAUCAAUGAAUAUAAUUGAUCUCCCUGGUAAAAUUAUUUAGAACAUUUCUGAUUACAGAAAACUCAAGACGUUAGAGAGACAGAACAGUAUCCUCAAUCGAUGGUCCCCCACCAGCAGUCGCUUCCAAACUGCACUCCACAGACAGCAGAGUAACAGAUUGAGCACCAAUCUGGAGGGAACCUUCAGUCUGCUGCUAGAACAGAGGUUCCUCUGUGGCCUGAUGAGAAAAUAUACAGGUUAUAUACAGUGCCUUCGGAAAGUAUUCAGACCUCUUGACUUUUUCCACAAUUUUUUAUGUUACAGCCUUGUUCUAAAAUGGAUUUUAAAAAAUGAAAUCCCCAGAAAUCUACACACAAUACCCCAUAAUGACAAAGCAAAAACAUUGCUUUAGACAUUUUUGCAAAUGUAUGAAAAAUUUAAAACAUGAAUACCUUAUUUACAUAAUUAUUCAGACCCUUUGCUAUAAGACUCGAAAUUGAGCUCAGGUGCAUCCUGUUUCCAUUGAUCAUCCUUCAGAUGUUUCUACAACUUGAUUGGAGUCCACGUGUGGUAAAUUCAAUGGGUUGGACAUGAUUUGAAAAGGCAUACGCUUGUCUAUAUAAGGUCCCACAGUUGACAGUACAUGUCAGAGCAAAAACCAAGCCAUGAGGUUGAAGGAAUUGUCCGUAGAGCUCUGAGACAGGAUUGUGUCGAGGCACAGAUCUGGGGAAGGGAACCAAAAUAUUCCUGCAGCAUUGAAAGUCCGCAAGAACACAGUGGCCUCCAUCAUUCUUAAAUGGAAGAAGUUUAGAACCACCAAGACUCUUCCGAGAGCUGGCCGCCUAGCCAAACUGAGCAAUUGGGGGAGAAGUGCCUUGGUCAAGGAGGUGCAAAGAUGAACGGAGCAAAGUACAGAGAUCCUUGAUGAAAACCUGCUCAAGCGCGCUCAGGACCUCAGACUGGGGCGAAGGUUCACCUUCCAACAGGACAACGACCCUAAGCACACAGCCAAGACAAUGCAGGAUUGGCUUCGGGACAAUAAUCUUUUUGGGCAUUUCGGUUUAAUUGUUAGAUGCGAUACAGGCAAUUUUUGAAUGUAAUUUACUAUUUAUGUCAGGGUGAGGGGAACCUGACAUGAUCCUGGUAUACCCCAACCUCAGUCUAAUGGAAUAGACAGGUUUGCUUCCUCCAAAGUAUUGUCUUUUCAUUGACCUGUUAGUUGUAGAGUUUGUAAAUAUAAAUGUAGAUUAUUUUAAAUAUUGUCAUUUGAACAUCUAGAUCACCAUUACCAUCUUUAAAUAAAAUCAUAACUUCUUGCAUCUGA